rnacentral:rRNA from 1 species
AUUGAACGCUGGCGGCAGGCCUAACACAUGCAAGUCGAACGAGUGGCGGACGGGUGAGUAAUGUCUGGGAAACUGCCUGAUGGAGGGGGAUAACUACUGGAAACGGUAGCUAAUACCGCAUACCCUCAGAUGUGCCCAGAUGGGAUUAGCUAGUUGGUGGGGUAACGGCUCACCAAGGCGACGAUCCCUAGCUGGUCUGAGAGGAUGACCAGCCACACUGGAACUGAGACACGGUCCAGACUCCUACGGGAGGAAGCAGUGGGGAACAUUGCACAAUGGGCGCAGGCCUGAUGCAGAAAGGCCGCGUGGAUGAAGAAGGCCUUCGGGUUGUAAAGUACGUUCAGCGGGGAGGCGGUACCCGAAGAAGAAGCACCGGCUAACUCCGUGCCAGCAGCCGCGGUAAUAC